rnacentral:lncRNA from 1 species
UAUGCAAGCAAAAGUCCCUGUUAAAAAUAUCAUAUACCACAGUCCAUACUUAAAUAAAAAUUACAAUCCCAAAUAAAAUUACUAAAAUAAAUAGAGUAAUUAAAAUAAACUUUGUUGCCACUAACCCGAAAUAAUAUCUCUGUAUGUAGAAUCUAAGCCUAUUCUUGAAGGUUAUCCGUAAGUAGUAAACUAGGGGGUGAGCUUAAAAAGCCCAAUGUGAAUCUAAAAAAUAUAAGCAUUUAAUAAAUCAAAUAGACAUACAAUUAUUAAAUAGUUCAACCAAUUUGUCACGACACAACUACAUAUGAAUAUGGCAUGCUAAAUGAUUCAAUCCAAUAAUCCUACUCAUUCAUCUGCUACACACCAUGAGUUCCCCAAAACUCGUCAUCUGAAUUCCAAAUAGUAAGGGCUUAAUCCCGUUGUGGUUAAAACCACCAAUAACAGUAUGCUGAUAAAACUGCAGGUAAAAAUGCCAUAAAUCACCCAAUCUCUUCAAAUCUCCGGUGCAGUGCACUAACAAUAGUAUUGAGGACUUCAAAUGUCGUUAGAUCUCCACGGAACUCCUCUGUCAACCACAAAUAUCCACCCCAUGCAGAUGUGUUAUGACAUACAAUCGAUAAGCAAAUCAUGCUGAUGCGGAACCCCGGAUCUAGACACAAGAGAAACACAAAUUAGAAAUAAAAACGAGAAUAAAUAAAAGUAGUUAAAUAAUAAUAAUAAUAAAAGGAUAGAUUUGCCUUAUGGAACCCUUGGUUAACUUGCAACCAAAAACGCCAAUGAUUGAGCGGCUCCCUACGAAACCCCUAGAAGAAGAACCUCUAGAAACACCAAUGAACGGGAAAGAAAUUUGAAUAUUUGUAACUCCAAAAUACUCUCGAAAGUAACAAACUCCAAACUAAAUAGCAAGAGAAGAAUCACUCUACUCUCAAAAAUUUGCCUCACACAAAUUUGGAAGAAAACAAAU